rnacentral:rRNA from 1 species
GACAGAGGGUGCGAACGUUGUUCGGAAUUACUGGGCGUAAAGCGCGUGUAGGCGGUCACGUAAGUCGGGUGUGAAAGCCCUCGGCUCAACCGAGGAAGUGCACUCGAAACUGCGUGACUUGAGUCCCGGAGAGGAUGGUGGAAUUCUCGGUGUAGAGGUGAAAUUCGUAGAUAUCGAGAGGAACACCGGUGGCGAAGGCGGCCAUCUGGACGGUGACUGACGCUGAGACGCGAAAGCAUGGGGAG